rnacentral:lncRNA from 1 species
UAAAAAUAAAACAUCUGUUAGGAGUGAAAGUAGAUUAUGCAAAUUAGUGUUCUUACUACUUUUCUUCAUAUCCCCUUGCCUCUGGCUAUAAUAGAAAAUAAUCAAACUCAGUAGGAUGCAACUUGAUUGACUACAAUUUACUUUUACAAAUUCUAAUUCUGUGGAGCUUUAGUCCUCUGAGUAAUCUCCUCCCCCCCCCCCCCCCCCAAAAAAAACAACAAAAAAAAUAGAAAACUACUGUGGAACUUUUUGUCCUAUGAGUAAUCUGCAUCUCCCUCCCCCCUCGGUUUGAGCGGAUCUUACUUUACAGGACUUUGGUAAUCAAUUGACAAAGACUAAAAUGUCUUCUCUGCUCACCUGCCCCCUUCAUAUCUUGUAAUGAAACUACUCAAGUCAAUUCUACAGAGUUAUUUGCAUUGGAGGUAAUAUUUGGCUGAGGAAAUCUUACUUCAGCUCAUGAGUCUUUUAAGCCCAAAUAAGACCUGUGAUACGAACGUCGCCAACCUUGUGACGAAACCCGUAAAAGAUUAGCUUCAGGAUCGACAAGAGGACACCAAGUUUGAAGCGGAUGACCUCAACCCGUUAAUCACGUGGUUAACGAACCUUGGUAUAAUGGUAGAAGACGCCACAACCUAGUGCGAUUCUAGAUUGAUAAGUCACGAACACCUAGAGAAAUUUAAGGUAUUCAAGAAGCCUUGGAGAAACCAAGAAAACUCUCAAAAUCUGAUUUAUU